CUAAACACACUUGCAUGGCUUUAUUUUCUACUAGGCUCUAGUUACAUUUAUAAACAUUUACAGUUUCUUUUUACUUAGAGAUUGUACUCUUCAAAAAUUGAGCUGAAACGAACAUUCUGAUAUUUUUCUUAGAUUCACAAGAUGUGAAGAAGAAGGAAAUACAAUAAAAAACAAUUUGUGUUUGUUUGUUUAUCAUGAAACCCUAUGCUGAACCCAGAUUUUGUAACCCAUGCUUUUAGGGAUUAUGUCUUAUUUGUACCUUGAAAUUGGUACAAUGUCAAGAACAUAGCAGUUGUAUAAAUCUAUAUCAUAAAUAGAAAAAAAAACCCUGCAUUUACUAUUAUGUGUCAUUCCCUGACUUAUGUGUUCUUCCUUUAAGUGAAAUUCACCUUACAAGGUAAAUUAGUGGGGAGUGUGUUCAGCUGCAAGUGGUAUAAAAUGAGAAGGAUCUUAACUCAAAGAGUACCUCAAAUAUAACUGAAUCUGGAGGCAGACAACUGUGAGCAUGAAUUCAAAGGCAUGAUGGUUGACAUCUCUGCAAUUGUUUUGAUCUUUCCUUAAUGAUGUUGUUUCACAUUGCAAAAUGGCGACUAGGCAGCUGAAAGGGAAAAGGAAGGCAACCAGUAUGUCUGUUCCCUUUCAUCAGCAAAUCAAAACUUUUUCCAGAAAUGCUUAGCAGAUUUCUUCUCUUGUCUUCUCAGCCAGAACUGUGUUACCCAGUAUCUCUGGCUAGAGGGAGGCUAGGAAAACAAAAAAAAUGAUUAGAUCCUUAUGAUGGUUCAAAGAAAUGGUGAUGCUUUGUUUGGAUUUGGACACAUUUCUCUCCAAACAAAUUUGGGGUUCUGUUUGCAAGGAAAAAUCAGGUUAGAAAAUGACUAUUGAGUUAGCACCUAAUAUUGUUUACUAUAGGAAGUUAAAAUAAAAUUAGAGACCAUAUAUAGCAGGUACCAUAACAUUGACUAAAACACCAUAAGUGCUUCAUAAACAGGAGGUAUGGUUUAUGUGAUAAUAAUAAAUGUAAUGUUAUCAAUGAAUAGUAAACAUGAAAUGUAAUGAGCUUGUGAGCAUCAAUGUAUGUUACUGUAAGUAUUUGCUCUGAGGAUGUGAGAGGU
rnacentral:lncRNA from 1 species